ACACCUCAACCCUUGUGGUUCGCCACGAUGGGCUUGGACUUUGGAGGUUUUGCUGGCCCCCCUGUGGUCGGCUCCUCUCAAAUGAAUCAGCUUACCAGUGUUUGGUGGCGUCGCAGGUGUGAUAACUAUCUACGCUUGUGGCAGCCUGUCAUGCAACCUUCAGCGAUGGGGGUUCGCUGAGGCUUACAGAUGUCUUUCCCAAGUGGAGACAGCUUUUUGAUC
rnacentral:misc_RNA from 1 species